rnacentral:rRNA from 1 species
UUAAGUUAUUAAGGGCGCACGGUGGAUGCCUUGGCACUAGAAGCCGAUGAAGGACGUUACUAACGACGAUAUGCUUUGGGGAGCUGUAAGUAAGCUUUGAUCCAGAGAUUUCCGAAUGGGGAAACCCAGCAUGAGUUAUGUCAUGUUAUCGAUAUGUGAAUACAUAGCAUAUCAGAAGGCACACCCGGAGAACUGAAACAUCUUAGUACCCGGAGGAAGAGAAAGAAAAUUCGAUUCCCUUAGUAGCGGCGAGCGAAACGGGAAGAGCCCAAACCAACAAGCUUGCUUGUUGGGGUUGUAGGACACUCUAUACGGAGUUACAAAGGACGACAUUAGACGAAUCAUCUGGAAAGAUGAAUCAAAGAAGGUAAUAAUCCUGUAGUCGAAAAUGUUGUCUCUCUUGAGUGGAUCCUGAGUACGACGGAGCACGUGAAAUUCCGUCGGAAUCUGGGAGGACCAUCUCCUAAGGCUAAAUACUCUCUAGUGACCGAUAGUGAACCAGUACCGUGAGGGAAAGGUGAAAAGCACCCCGGAAGGGGAGUGAAAUAGAACCUGAAACCGUGUGCUUACAAGUAGUCAGAGCCCGUUAAUGGGUGAUGGCGUGCCUUUUGUAGAAUGAACCGGCGAGUUACGAUUUGAUGCAAGGUUAAGCAGUAAAUGUGGAGCCGUAGCGGAAGCGAGUCUGAAUAGGGCGUUUAGUAUUUGGUCGUAGACCCGAAACCAGGUGAUCUACCCUUGGUCAGGUUGAAGUUCAGGUAACACUGAAUGGAGGACCGAACCGACUUACGUUGAAAAGUGAGCGGAUGAACUGAGGGUAGCGGAGAAAUUCCAAUCGAACCUGGAGAUAGCUGGUUCUCUCCGAAAUAGCUUUAGGGCUAGCCUCAAGUGAUGAUUAUUGGAGGUAGAGCACUGUUUGGACGAGGGGCCCCUCUCGGGUUACCGAAUUCAGACAAACUCCGAAUGCCAAUUAAUUUAACUUGGGAGUCAGAACAUGGGUGAUAAGGUCCGUGUUCGAAAGGGAAACAGCCCAGACCACCAGCUAAGGUCCCAAAAUAUAUGUUAAGUGGAAAAGGAUGUGGCGUUGCCCAGACAACUAGGAUGUUGGCUUAGAAGCAGCCAUCAUUUAAAGAGUGCGUAAUAGCUCACUAGUCGAGUGACACUGCGCCGAAAAUGUACCGGGGCUAAACAUAUUACCGAAGCUGUGGAUUGUCCUUUGGACAAUGGUAGGAGAGCGUUCUAAGGGCGUUGAAGCAUGAUCGUAAGGACAUGUGGAGCGCUUAGAAGUGAGAAUGCCGGUGUGAGUAGCGAAAGACGGGUGAGAAUCCCGUCCACCGAUUGACUAAGGUUUCCAGAGGAAGGCUCGUCCGCUCUGGGUUAGUCGGGUCCUAAGCUGAGGCCGACAGGCGUAGGCGAUGGAUAACAGGUUGAUAUUCCUGUACCACCUAUAAUCGUUUUAAUCGAUGGGGGGACGCAGUAGGAUAGGCGAAGCGUGCGAUUGGAUUGCACGUCUAAGCAGUAAGGCUGAGUAUUAGGCAAAUCCGGUACUCGUUAAGGCUGAGCUGUGAUGGGGAGAAGACAUUGUGUCUUCGAGUCGUUGAUUUCACACUGCCGAGAAAAGCCUCUAGAUAGAAAAUAGGUGCCCGUACCGCAAACCGACACAGGUAGUCAAGAUGAGAAUUCUAAGGUGAGCGAGCGAACUCUCGUUAAGGAACUCGGCAAAAUGACCCCGUAACUUCGGGAGAAGGGGUGCUCUUUAGGGUUAACGCCCAGAAGAGCCGCAGUGAAUAGGCCCAAGCGACUGUUUAUCAAAAACACAGGUCUCUGCUAAACCGUAAGGUGAUGUAUAGGGGCUGACGCCUGCCCGGUGCUGGAAGGUUAAGAGGAGUGGUUAGCUUCUGCGAAGCUACGAAUCGAAGCCCCAGUAAACGGCGGCCGUAACUAUAACGGUCCUAAGGUAGCGAAAUUCCUUGUCGGGUAAGUUCCGACCCGCACGAAAGGCGUAACGAUUCGGGCACUGUCUCAACGAGAGACUCGGUGAAAUCAUAGUACCUGUGAAGAUGCAGGUUACCCGCGACAGGACGGAAAGACCCCGUGGAGCUUUACUGUAGCCUGAUAUUGAAAUUCGGCACAGCUUGUACAGGAUAGGUAGGAGCCUUUGAAACGUGAGCGCUAGCUUACGUGGAGGCGCUGGUGGGAUACUACCCUAGCUGUGUUGGCUUUCUAACCCGCACCACUUAUCGUGGUGGGAGACAGUGUCAGGCGGGCAGUUUGACUGGGGCGGUCGCCUCCCAAAAGGUAAAGGAGCGCUCAAAGGUUCCCUCAGAAUGGUUGGAAAUCAUUCAUAGAGUGUAAAGGCAUAAGGGAGCUUGACUGCGAGACCUACAAGUCGAGCAGGGUCGAAAGACGGACUUAGUGAUCCGGUGGUUCCGCAUGGAAGGGCCAUCGCUCAACGGAUAAAAGCUACCCCGGGGAUAACAGGCUUAUCUCCCCCAAGAGUUCACAUCGACGGGGAGGUUUGGCACCUCGAUGUCGGCUCAUCGCAUCCUGGGGCUGUAGUCGGUCCCAAGGGUUGGGCUGUUCGCCCAUUAAAGCGGUACGCGAGCUGGGUUCAGAACGUCGUGAGACAGUUCGGUCCCUAUCCGUCGUGGGCGUAGGAAAUUUGAGAGGAGCUGUCCUUAGUACGAGAGGACCGGGAUGGACAUACCUCUGGUGUACCAGUUGUCGUGCCAACGGCAUAGCUGGGUAGCUAUGUGUGGACGGGAUAAGUGCUGAAAGCAUCUAAGCAUGAAGCCCCCCUCAAGAUGAGAUUUCCCAACUUCGGUUAUAAGAUCCCUCAAAGAUGAUGAGGUUAAUAGGUUCGAGGUGGAAGCAUGGUGACAUGUGGAGCUGACGAAUACUAAUCGAUCGAAGACUUAAUCAA